rnacentral:tRNA from 1 species
UGCGGGGUAGAGCAACUGGUAGCUCACCUGGCUCAUAACCAGGAGGUUAGGGGUUCAACUCCCCUCCCCGCUA